AGUCUACACAUUUGGUCAAAGAGGACAACCAUCCCCGAUAUAGGAUUAUGGGCCUUUGGUCAAGAGAAUACAAGUAGCUGCACUCCCCUGCUAGAACCUCCAAACAAACUCUCAAGAAUCUCAUGGACUUUCCUGCCUGGGCUGGC
rnacentral:sRNA from 1 species